UUCACUUUCUCGGUCUGUUCCUCUCUAACUCCGCCUAAACCCUCUCUCUAAAAAAAAAAUCCAAAUCAAAGUGUAAAAACGAUGAAAUUGAAAUACGUAAAAUAAUGAUGAUAGACAUGGUGUUGGAUCUGAUAUUUGGGCGUUGUUAAGAACUAAAACGCAAAGAUUGAAGCAAGACCCAGGAUUUCACCAUGUAAAAGGCCUAAAUGUGGGUUUCUAUCAGAUUUAAACAAGUCAAAGCAUGGACGUCUAAGGAACUAAGCAUAUCGGUAUGGACAUUUGGGAUGUGGCUAUGGAGAGAAGGGAAGCUGCUCGAGAAAUUGUUUGCAGAGCAUAUCUAGGGGUUUGGAAUGAGGUGUUGGUUACUACAAUAGCCGAUUUGCCCCGUGUUAUCCAGUCUACUAAAACAUUGUUAUU